rnacentral:rRNA from 1 species
UACGGAGGGUGCGAGCGUUGUCCGGAAUCACUGGGCGUAAAGGGCGCGUAGGCGGCCUGAUAAGUAGGGGGUGAAAUCCUACGGCUUAACCGCAGGGCUGCCUUCUAAACUGUCAGGCUGGAGCACAGUAGAGGCAGGUGGAAUUCCCGGUGUAGCGGUGGAAUGCGUAGAGAUCGGGAAGAACAUCAGUGGCGAAGGCGGCCUGCUGGGCUGUUGCUGACGCUGAGGCGCGACAGCGUGGGGAGCAAACAGG